UCAGUGAGAGAAAGAAAAUUCUAUAAUCCUCUCUCUAUCUCUAUCUCGGUCUGCACUCCUUCGGCUUCCUUCACUUCUCGCUCACCACCCAUCUCUCACAACUUAAUAACUCUCUAUGUUUAGUCGAUUUUUUUCUCAAUCAUAACAAUUAUUCGCCUGUGAAUUAGGUUUUUCUUUCACUUCUUCUUCAAAGAGAUCCAUCACAAAUGAAAUUCUUAAACCUACAGUUUUGAGAUUUCUCUUAACCGAAUCAGUAUAAAGAAAUCUAAGUUUUGUUGGUACAGAAAAAGGGUUUUGAAUCAACGGCUUACUUCAUGAGAAACAACUUCUAAGUAAUGGGUUUUCUUGAAUGGAUGAAAGUUGUGCUAUUGAAUGGCGAUUUCCUACCAUUUUAUUUGUAUGUUGUUGUUGUUGUCGUGGUGGUGCUUCUUAUUAGGUGGUUUUGGGUAUAUGGUUUUGGCCGGUGGUGGUAAAUGUUCAGAGUUAACAGGAUUGAUAGAAAUGGGAGAUGGAGAUGCUGCUUUUGAAUUCAAAACUACGUAUUCUAGUGUGGUACUAAUCAUGAGUAAUUUAGGUAAUUGUGAUGGAGUUAGAUGAUGCUAUGAUACAACACUAGACCCUGAACAAGAAAAAGCUAGAGAAUUGUUGGGAGCUGCGAUAUGGGCUCAAAGGAAAAGAGUUACAAACCUACAAGCAGCGUAAGGGAAGUUAGUCUCUUUUACCAAAUGUAUUUCUCACUACAUUACUUUAUGUUGCUGGAUUUUUAUCAGCCUUCUGACUUGUUGGAUUGUUCUUCUAGGUAACGACAACCACCUGUGGGGGACGAUCGGUUUCUUGCAUCAGUGAAUAUAAGAGGUAAUGAUGUGUGAUCUUGGACUAAGUUCAGAGCUGAAGUUGGCAUGCAAUUCUGCGCUAAUGAAAGUUGUAGGGCCUAUAUCAUUGAUUUUGGACUGGCUAAAAUAUCGUGAGUCUACUACUAACCGCCAUAUUCCUUAUAGAUGCAAUGUAGCCGUAAAAUGUGUAACAAUUAAUCCCAGUAGAAGGCUCAAUGUAAUUAACUCAUAUAUGCUGCGUCACAUGAGUGCCAUCGUGGAGCAAAAUCCUAUUUCUGCACCUCAACAAGAUAGUGGAAAAUGUUGAAAGUACCAUGCUGCUGUUGAGUGGGCGCUGGGUUCAAGAUGACAAAAAACAUAUUCCUCCCCAUGUCCGAGUGAAAACUUUGCUGCAUCACAACUUCUAUGAGUGACGGAAAAUGGAUCUUUUUGGCUGUGCUCUGGCUCAAGUUGAUGUGCUGGAUAUGCGCCACUUCGACACAAUUAUCAUAGACUUAGCCCGUCCGUACUCCAAGACAAACUUUCCACUGGGAAGGUGACGAGUUGUAUCAUUUUUUGCAGAGUCUCGCUCAAUUAAUCAUGUCAUGACCGGUCUACAUGUAGUGUGUUCUCGAUCUUCUUCUUCCCUCAGUUCUUGCAGGUGCUGUAGAUGUUGGAAACUCUUAUCUGCACUUGCUCGUUUGUUACUAAUUUGAGUUGUUGGAUACACUUGCUGGAUCCUCUUUGCUGGGCAGGAUGAUAACAAGUAAAGCAUGUCUUCAUGGAAGACAUUGUGACCUACGAAUUCACUUACUUGAAUUCCCUAGAUAUGGUGUAUUUGAAUGAUCAGUUCUUGAUCUUGGAUUCCGAACAUCAGAUUAUGACAGGAUAGUAUCAUUCCGAGUAUACCAUUCCUUGUUCAUGCACAAUACUGAUAUUGUGGCCAUAUAUGUGCAAAUAUGCUUUGCUUGAAGUAUCCUUUGUAUUGGAGCCCUUUUUUCAUAUUUCAAGUGGAAGCUUACUUCUUCACUAAAGAGGAUGAAGUUGUUGCUGGAAGUGCUCUUGCAGACAUGAUACUCAAAGAAACCAAUCUAUACUAGUGUUGCUGGAAGUGCUCUUGUACAAUUGAAAUUAAUGAGUGUAUUUUCAAAGUUUUAAUAUGUUGAUCUGGGGUAAUAUUUAGAUGUUGAGGUUGUAAACUGAAUCCACCUUUUAAUAUAAAUGUUAACUUUGUUUCCAUAUA